AGAGCAGGGUGUGGCCCGUGGUCCAGCUAGUCCCUCACCGAUGGCCAGCCUGUGCCGACCGGGGGCUCCCCACCACGCCGGGGGGCCGGGGGGCCGGGGGGGCUGACCGUGCGGAACACCCCGAGACCGCAGCCCGCCCGCGGGGCCCAGAGCAGGCUUGGGGAGGCUCCGCUGCUGCCGGCUGCCCGCGCCCGCCGCCCUCCCGGCUUCACUUCCUCCCGCAGCCCCCGCCGCCCCGGAGGCCCGGGGUCCCAGCGCCCCGCAGCCCCCGCCGCCGCGCCCUAGCCUCGGCCUGCAGGGCCUCAGCCAGACUUCCUACCCCAAACCCAGGGCUGGGAAGAAGGAGGAGACUCUGACAGCUCUGUCUCUUCAGAGGUUUGAGCUGGACAAAGCAGCCUUCUCCCCGGUAGGAUGGCCUCGCCCUCCAGCUCUCCCACUUUCAGGCUUGAGACAUCUGAUGGAGGCCAGGAAGAUGGCAGUGAGGUGGACAAAAGAAAGGCUGGCCCGGGGGCUGGGCCACCCCCCAUGGAGUCACCAUUCCAAGGGGAGGAUCGCAAAUGCUCUCCUCAGAUCAAAGUAAACCUCAACUUCCGCAAAGGAGCAGGUGUCAGCCAGCCGGACCCAAACCGCUUUGACCGUGAUCGGCUCUUCAGCGUGGUUGCCCGGGGUGUCCCCGAGGAUCUGGCUGGGUUACCAGAGUACCUGUCCCGGACCAGCAAGUACCUCACCGACUCAGAGUACACAGAGGGCUCCACAGGCAAGACGUGCCUGAUGAAGGCUGUGUUAAACCUUCGGGAUGGUGCCAACGCCUGCAUCCUGCCAUUGCUUCAGAUCGACCGGAACUCUGGCAAUCCCCAGCCCCUGGUCAAUGCCCAAUGCACGGAUGAGUACUACCGAGGCCACAGUGCCCUGCAUAUUGCCAUCGAGAAGAGGAGCCUGCAGUGUGUGAAGCUCUUGGUGGAGAACGGGGCCAAUGUGCAUGCCCAGGCCUGUGGCCAAUUCUUCCAGAAAAAGAGCCAAGGGACUUGCUUCUACUUUGGUGAGCUGCCCCUCUCUCUGGCUGCGUGCACCAAGCAGUGGGAUGUGGUGACCUACCUCCUGGAGAACCCGCAUCAGCCUGCCAGCCUGCAGGCAGCCGACUCGCUGGGCAACACGGCCCUGCAUGCCUUGGUGAUGAUCGCAGACAACUCAGCCGAGAACAGUGCCCUGGUGAUCCGCAUGUAUGAUGCGCUCCUCCGUGCUGGGGCCCGCCUCUGCCCCAAAGUGCAGCUCGAGGACAUCCCCAACCUGCAGGGCCUCACGCCCCUGAAGCUGGCUGCCAAGGAGGGCAAAAUCGAGAUUUUCAGGCACAUCCUGCAGCGGGAGUUCUCGGGGCCGUGCCAGUCACUUUCCCGAAAGUUUACUGAGUGGUGCUACGGGCCUGUCCGGGUGUCGCUGUAUGACCUGGCCUCUGUGGACAGCUGGGAGGAGAACUCCGUGCUGGAGAUCAUCGCCUUUCAUUGCAGAAGCCCGCACCGACACCGAAUGGUGGUUUUGGAACCACUGAACAAACUGCUACAGGCGAAAUGGGAUCUGCUAAUCCCCAGAUUCUUCUUCAACUUCCUGUGUUACCUGACCUACAUGUUCAUCUUUACCGCUGUUGCUUACCACCAGCCAGCCCUGGGGAAGGCCUUCCUCCCCCCGACUGUGACUACUGGGGACUCCAUGCUGCUGCUGGGCCACAUCCUGAUCCUCCUUGGGGGGGUCUACCUCUUGGUGGGCCAGCUAUGGUACUUCUGGAGGCGUCGUCUGUUCAUCUGGAUCUCCUUCGUGGACAGCUACUUUGAACUGCUCUUCCUGGUCCAGGCCCUGCUCACAGUGCUGUCCCAGGGACUGUGUUUCCUGGCCGUGGAGUGGUACCUGCCUCUGCUUGUGUCUUCCCUGGUGCUGGGCUGGCUGAACCUGCUCUAUUACACACGCGGCUUGCAGCACACAGGCAUCUACAGUGUCAUGAUCCAGAAGGUCAUCCUGCGGGACCUGCUCCGCUUCCUGCUGGUCUACUUAGUCUUCCUGUUUGGCUUCGCUGUAGCCCUGGUGAGCCUGAGCCGGGAAGCCCGAGACUCUGGGGUCCCCACAGGCCCCAAUGUCACGGAGGCAGCGCAGUCUGGGGCAGGACAGGGGGACGAGGAGGGCAGCUCCUCCCCAUACGGUGGCAUACUGGACGCUUCCUUGGAGCUCUUCAAGUUCACCAUCGGCAUGGGGGAGCUGGCAUUCCAAGACCAGCUGCGCUUCCGCGGCGUGGUGCUACUGCUGCUCCUGGCCUAUGUGCUGCUCACCUACAUCCUGCUGCUCAAUAUGCUCAUCGCCCUCAUGAGCGAGACCGUCAACAGUGUUGCCAGUGACAGCUGGAGCAUCUGGAAGCUGCAGAAAGCUAUCUCUGUCCUGGAGAUGGAGAAUGGCUACUGGUGGUGCAGGAGGAAGAAGCAGCGGGCCGGUGUGAAGCUGACCGUUGGGACCAGGCCGGAUGGUAGCUCUGAUGAGCGCUGGUGCUUCAGGGUGGAGGAAGUGAACUGGGCUGCGUGGGAGCAGACGCUGCCAACAGUGUGUGAAGAGCCAUCAGGCCCAGCUGUCCCUGAGGUCAUUCUCAAAAGGCGGAGAGCUGUCGGCGCGCAGGGGUUCGGAGAGGCUCCGUGGAUACUCUGCAAGAGCUGUGGGGAGAGCAGCCUGGCAGCAAGAAUUAGAAGCAGCUAUUUUAUGAAUGUUCGCUGCCUGCCAAGACUACACAGGGUUUCAAGCUUGACGUCGCACGCGAUCCUCAGAACUACGUCUGCCGUGCCGGUAGCUCUCCUGACCACGUGAGCAAUCGGAAAGCUCACAAAGGCAGAGAAUCUUGGUCAAAACCACGCAGCUUGGCAGCGAAGGAUUUUCACAACCGAGCUCCAGCCCCCACGCAUGCGCCCUGGGACUCUCCCGUCGCCGAGGGACCCAGAAUUCCCGGGUCCAUGGAAGAGACCAUAGGCUCUAAUGGAGGGGGGGCCGGCGUGGUGAGGCGGAGUCUGCCCCGUCAAAUGGGCAGGAAGUUCCCGUGAGCCUUUGCUAGUGUUACCCUCCCUUCCGCGCGGAAUGGGACGUUCCGACUCCUUAAAGGCCGGGAACGCGGCUCAAGCGACCUUUCCGUUAUUGUGAUGAUGGAGGUGGGUGGUUUCUGUAGGUGAGCGUGGUAUUUGGCGGCAAAGGUGGAGGAGCCUAGAGGCGUCCUAAUUCUUGGGAGGAAAUUUUCGGGGGGCGGAGAGCGGCUCGUUAAGGGGCGUCGCCGAGCUCCCGGGCUGCUGCGGCGGCGGCGGUGUAUGGGGGGAGAGUUGCGCAGGGCCGCCGGGGGCCGAGGCCCAAAGCCCGCGCGCGUGUUUGUCCGGCAGCGCCGCCGCCGUGUGAGGAGCCCGAGGUUCCCGAAGGCCGGCCCCCCGCUCCCCGGACCCGGCGUGGGGAGUGCGCCGACCCCGGAGGCGUGGCCUCCUCGGUCUAGAUGAACGUGUCCCUGCAGAACCUGCCCUUAACGCGUGUCGCCGGCCAUGUUCCAGGCAGCCGACGGCCUGCAGCGCCUUCAAGCGGGGAGCGGCAUCCCACCCUGAGAUUGCAGAUGCGUGUGCGGUUGCCAGUGUGAUCAGGUCACCAGCAGUGGAGUGUUGGAGUGAUGAGCGCUGAUCUGUCUCCAGGUUUUGUGUGUUGAGGUUCUCAAGAAUGGUGGUCAGCAGUGUGGAGUUUUAAAGCUGCAGCCCAAGAAGAGGCUAUGUUCCUAGAGCAUGCUCAGCCUUGCUGCAGCAGGGGAAGAACUUCAAAGGUUCAAGGACCAGUGGUCACCCAUCAGUUUGGACUGAAAACCCAGCUUCAACAGUUUGUGGAAACACUGCUUACCUUGUGCUGGGAUUCAUAGAGGCCAUUUUCUUAUCAACGGCAGAGCCAACAAAUGUGUUUGGCAACAUUUUUUUAGGAUAGGCAAUGUUGGUUGUCAUUAAAUUGAGUUUUCUAGUAAUGUAUUACAAAUAUUGUAGCCUUCUUAUCUCCCUUGUGCAAACAGCUUUUGUGUUUACUUGUAAGAAUUUGUUCUGUUGGGUAAGGUUCUCUUUAAGCUGGAAACUUACUACUGAGACUAAUAUUUCCAUGUAAUCACCAUAAGCCAAUACUGCAAUAAAGAAUGGUCUUUAGUA